rnacentral:misc_RNA from 1 species
AAGAAGGUUUCCGUAGGUGAACCUGCGGAAGGAUCAUUAACACUAUCCAAACGUUAAAACAUCCCUGUGAACCUUCAGCGUGUCCUUGCAGGACAUCAAAACAGCAAUCCCGAGUAAAUCAGGCGCUAAAGAAUUACAGAUUUUGAUUUUGGGAAGUUCUGUGUGUACGUGGACGCGGUACCCUAGAGCAAUGCUCUGUCUGAAAGCGGCAAGGGAUGAAUGUUCAGGGUGGCGCAGUCAACGAUCGCUGUAGGUCCACACGACCGGCGACCGGGAUGGAGGCGAAAGCCCCCGUCAUCCCUAUGUAAGCUGACUCCGUCAUAAAUCGAACAACUGUUAACAAUGGAUAUCUUGGUUCUC